UACGUAUGGUGCAAGCGUUAUCCGGAAUUAUUGGGCGUAGAGCGCGCGUAGGCGGUUUCUUAAGUCUGAUGUGAAAGCCCACGGCUCAACCGUGGAGGGUCAUUGGAAACUGGGAAACUUGAGUGCAGAAGAGGAAAGUGGAAUUCCAUGUGUAGCGGUGGAAUGCGCAGAGAUAUGGAGGAACACCAGUGGCGAAGGCGACUUUCUGGUCUGUAACUGACGCUGAUGUGCGAAAGCGUGGGGAUCAAACAGG
rnacentral:rRNA from 1 species